UUCAGGUGAGUCGUCUACUCCUGCUGCAGCUGCGGGUUCAGAUUCAGGUGACUCGUCCACUCCUGCUGCAGCUGCAGGUUCAGAUUCAGGUGAGUCGUCUACUCCUGCUGCAGCUGCAGGUUCAGAUUCAGGUGAGUCGUCUACUCCUGCUGCAGCUGCGGGUUCAGAUUCACGUGAGUCAUCUACUCCUGCUGCAGCUGCAGGUUCAGAUUCAGGUGACUCGUCUACUCCUGCUGCAGCUGCGGGUUCAGAUUCA